CAAUAGCGUAUAUCUGCAACGAUCCUGUGUGGCAUUAGGUUGUCGUGCAGGGGAGACCCAUCAUUUACUGUGAAAAAAUUAGAGUGUUCAAAGCAGGCUUAUGCCGCUGAAUAUAUUAGCAUGGGAUAAUGAGAUAGGACCUUGGUACUAUUUUGUUGGUUUGUGCACCGAGGUAAUGAUUAAUAGGGACAGUUGUGGGUAUUCGUAUUCCAUUGUCAGAGGUGAAAUUCUUGGAUUUCUGGAAGACGAACGAAUGCGAAAGCAUUUACCAAGGAUGUUUUCAUUA
rnacentral:rRNA from 1 species